AGAAUAGAUAGAGAGAAUAGAGAGAGAGAAUAGAGAGAGAGAAUAGAGAGAGAGAAUAGAGAGAGAAUAGAGAGAGAAUAGAGAGAGAGAAUAGAGAGAGAGAGAAUAGAGAGAGAAGAGAGAGAGAAUAGAGAGAGAGAAUAGAGAGAGAGAAUAGAGAGAGAGAAUAGAUAGAGAGAAUAGAGAGAGAGAAUAGAGAGAGAGAAUAGAUAGAGACAAUAGAGAGAGAGAAUAGAGAGAGAAUAGAGAGAGAGAAUAGAGAUAGAGAGAAUAGAGAGAGAGAAUAGAGAGAGAGAGAAUAGAGAGAGAAUAGAGAGAGAAUAGAGAGAGAGAAUAGAGAGAGAGAAUAGAGAGAGAGAAAUAGAGAGAGAGAAUAGAGUGAGAGAAUAGAGAGAGAGAAUAGAGAGAGAGAAUAGAGAGAGAAUAGAGUGAGAGAAUAGAUAGAGAGAAUAGAGAGAGAGAAUAGAGAGAGAGAGAAUAGAGUGAGGGAUAAAAAAAUAGGAAGAGAAGUGGAGGGAAAAGAGGAGGAGUUAAUUAUGAAUAUUGGAUUUGUAAAAAGAUCAAUAUCGUUAUAGAUUAGAGCCUCAUCCAAUCCUCUCUCUGUCCACACAGGAGGGAAAUGAACCAGCGGCAUUAUUAACAUGUGUGUCACAAUGAUUUUAGGCUCCUGACAACUUUGCUCUGUGUUGAAUAAUGUAUUUGUUUUCAUUCUGUUGUCCAUGUGAACAUCUGUGUUUGGUUGUACUGUCCUUGUAGGUAACAGAAGUCCUCACAUCACAAGGAUAGUAAACAAUUCUGUGUGUGUGUUUGGUUGUACUGUCCUUGUAGGUAACAGAAGUCCUCACAUCACAAGGAUAGUAAACAAGGACAAUUCUGACAACUGGAUUCAUUUUGCCAGUCCCCACAACGGGAAAAUAUAUUUCAGGCUUAGGAGUUAGGAGUUAGGGGUUAGGUUUACAACUAGGGGUUAGGGAGUUAGGGUCAGGAGUUAGGAGUUAGGAGUUACAACUAGGGUUAUGGGUUAGGAGUUAGGA
ensembl:lncRNA